rnacentral:rRNA from 1 species
AUUGAACGCUGGCGGCAGGCCUAACACAUGCAAGUCGAGCGGAUGAGUGGAGCUUGCUCCAUGAUUCAGCGGCGGACGGGUGAGUAAUGCCUAGGAAUCUGCCUGGUAGUGGGGGACAACGUUUCGAAAGGAACGCUAAUACCGCAUACGUCCUACGGGAGAAAGUGGGGGAGCUUCGGACCUCACGCUAUCAGAUGAGCCUAGGUCGGAUUAGCUAGUUGGUAAGGUAAAGUCUCACCAAGGCGAAGAUCCGUAACUGGUCUGAGAGGAUGAUCAGUCACACUGGAGAUGAGACACGGUCCAGACUCCUACGGGAGGCAGCAGUGGGGAAUAUUGGACAAUGGGCGAAAGCCUGAUCCAGCCAUGCCGCGUGUGUGAAGAAGGUCUUCGGAUUGUAAAGCACUUUAAGUUGGGAGGAAGGGCAGUAAGUUAAUACCUUGCUGUUGUGACGGUACCUGCAGAAAAAGGACCGGCUAACUUCGUGCCAGCAGCCGCCGUAAAAC